CCCGCUAUUGCCGAAAGAGGAGUCAUUUUUAUAUGAUUUGGACGCCAUUCAAUGCACUGACUUUGCUGCCCGGAUGGUCUUCAGGUCUGAUGCUGACUUGCCGUAUAUGCAUGGUGCUGCUCAACUCUCAAAGAUGUGGAAGGCCUUUGUAAGUGAGAAGCUUCUGCAGAGAAAAGAACCCCCAUCGAUUUGGAAAAUACGAGUCCAUUUUUUGAGUGACGCCAAUGGAGGCAAUGCAUCGUAUUCAACACUGGUAUAGACUUGCUGUCGCAAAGAGCUGAGCGGAGUCGGAGCCGGAGCGACAUGGGCGUGAUGCACAAGUUGCGGAUGAGCAACAUGGGUGUGAUGUUACAGGUUGUGUGGAAGGAAGGGACCAUUCGGAUGCGGGAAAAGCCGUGGCUUCUCCACUCCUGUUUUGUGGCUUCACCCCAUUGCCCAUGAGUAUUCUAUAUGCCGCCGCAGCAGCAGGGAUAUGUUCAUACACUGAUCCUGAUCCAUGUAUGUAUGUAUGUAUGUAUG